UCUUAAAAUGUUGUGUUGCCAUGGAGCCACAAGGUGGAGCCGGAGGCCUUUUGGAUGACAUCAGGGUUUUGACAGAAGAAAGGUGAUGCUGAUAAAAGUGCAACUGAUCAAGAAUUUAGGAUCCACUCUGUCGGCCGUCCACUGGCUGCUGGCAUGUGAACAAGAAGAGUAAAUGAUUGAUACCAAACAAAGCUCUCUAAAGCAGGCCUGUAAAUGAUGGAUGACACUGAUCUUCAGUCAACACACAGAGAAGCAGCGGCUCACACUCUUGAGUUACAAGGUGCAAAGUGCAAAACCUGACAGCUGAUUUUGUCACCUGAGAAUGUUGGCCUGUGUGUGGCAUUACACAGUUAAAGUGAGCAGGAAAACAAAACCAAGAGCCACUUCCCAGCCUGGGCAAGAUGACAGCAGUACACAGAGUUCAGACAGGCACAAACAAAUACACAC